ACCUACGGGGGGCAGCAGUAGGGAAUAUUGGUCAAUGGGUGAAAGCCUGAACCAGCCAUGCCGCGUGCAGGAAGAAAGCCUUCUGGGUUGUAAACUGCUUUUAUCAGGGGAUAAAAUACCCGUGCGCGGGGAAUUGAAGGUACCUGAUGAAUAAGCCACGGCUAACUACGUGCCAGCAGCCGCGGUAAUACGUAGGUGGCAAGCGUUGUCCGGAUUUAUUGGGUUUAAAGGGUGCGUAGGCGGUCCUAUAAGUCAGUGGUGAAAUACUCCAGCUCAACUGGAGAGGUGCCAUUGAUACUGCAGGACUAGAGUACUGAUGAGGUAGGCGGAAUGGACGGUGUAGCGGUGAAAUGCUUAGAUAUCGUCCAGAACACCGAUAGCGAAGGCAGCUUACUAAAGAGUAACUGACGCUGAGGCACGAAAGUGUGGGGAUCAAACAGGAUUAGAUACCCGAGUAU
rnacentral:rRNA from 1 species